GACGAACGCUGGCGGCGUGCUUAACACAUGCAAGUCGAACGGAAAGGCUCCAGCUUGCUGGAGUACUCGAGUGGCGAACGGGUGAGUAACACGUGGGUAAUCUGCCCUGCACUCUGGGAUAAGCCUGGGAAACUGGGUCUAAUACUGGAUAUGACCUUUCUCCUUAUGGGGUUUGGUGGAAAGUUUUUCGGUGUAGGAUGAGCCCGCGGCCUAUCAGCUUGUUGGUGGGGUGAUGGCCUACCAAGGCGACGACGGGUAGCCGGCCUGAGAGGGUGAUCGGCCACAUUGGGACUGAGAUACGGCCCAGACUCCUACGGGAGGCAGCAGUGGGGAAUAUUGCACAAUGGGCGGAAGCCUGAUGCAGCGACGCCGCGUGAGGGAUGACGGCCCUCGGGUUGUAAACCUCUUUCAGCAGGGACGAAGCGUAAGUGACGGUACCUGCAGAAGAAGCACCGGCUAACUAUGUG
rnacentral:rRNA from 1 species